UACGGAGGGUGCAAGCGUUAAUCGGAAUUACUGGGCGUAAAGCGCACGUAGGUGGCUACUUAAGUCAGAUGUGAAAGCCCUGGGCUUAACCUGGGAACUGCAUUUGAAACUGGAUAGCUAGAGUACAGCAGAGGGUGGUGGAAUUUCCGGUGUAGCGGUGAAAUGCGUAGAGAUCGGAAGGAACAUCAGUGGCGAAGGCGACCGCCUGGGCUCGGUCUGACGCUGAGGCGCGAAAGCGUGGGGAGCGAACAGG
rnacentral:rRNA from 1 species